CCUCUUUCCCAAGACUUUUAACUUCCAACAACUCACACUGAUCAAUUUUAUUGAUCAAUGAUAAUGGUCAAAAGUACGGUAAAAUGAAGCUACUUUUUGACCACAUAGUAUACGGUAGAAAGUUUUAAUAUUGUACAAAUUGUAAUAUAAAAAUAUAAUGAAUAAAGGUAAUAGAAUACAACUGACUUUUCGUACGUUUAUUUUACUAUAAUUGUAUGAAUCAUUCAACAGGGUGUCCAAAAAGUAAGGGGUCAUCAAGUUAUUGAUAUUUAACACAACUAUACAGGGUAUGAACUUGUUGUGUAUCUGCUAUAAUCGAUCUUCCUAUUGCUAAUGUCACGUGGGUACAAGCAGAUCUUUUACUGCAUGAGUAGCACCACCAUUUUAUGGAGUCAUAUCAUUGACACUUAAUUUUUACAAUGUACAAGUAUUGGAGAUAUCAAG
rnacentral:lncRNA from 1 species